rnacentral:rRNA from 1 species
GGCGGCGUGCCUAAUACAUGCAAGUCGAGCGAACGGACGAGAAGCUUGCUUCUCUGAUGUUAGCGGCGGACGGGUGAGUAACACGUGGAUAACCUACCUAUAAGACUGGGAUAACUUCGGGAAACCGGAGCUAAUACCGGAUAAUAAUUUGAACCGCAUGGUUCAAAAGUGAAAGACGGUCUUGCUGUCACUUAUAGAUGGAUCCGCGCUGCAUUAGCUAGUUGGUAAGGUAACGGCUUACCAAGGCAACGAUGCAUAGCCGACCUGAGAGGGUGAUCGGCCACACUGGAACUGAGACACGGUCCAGACUCCUACGGGAGGCAGCAGUAGGGAAUCUUCCGCAAUGGGCGAAAGCCUGACGGAGCAACGCCGCGUGAGCGAUGAAGGUCCUCGGAUCGUAAAACUCUGUUAUUAGGGAAGAACAUAUGUGUAAGUAACUGUGCACAUCUUGACGGUACCUAAUCAGAAAGCCACGGCUAACUACGUGCCAGCAGCCGCGGUAAUACGUAGGUGGCAAGCGUUAUCCGGAAUUAUUGGGCGUAAAGCGCGCGUAGGCGGUUUUUUAAGUCUGAUGUGAAAGCCCACGGCUCAACCGUGGAGGGUCAUUGGAAACUGGAAAACUUGAGUGCAGAAGAGGAAAGUGGAAUUCCAUGUGUAGCGGUGAAAUGCGCAGAGAUAUGGAGGAACACCAGUGGCGAAGGCGACUUUCUGGUCUGUAACUGACGCUGAUGUGCGAAAGCGUGGGGAUCAAACAGGAUUA